UCCCUGGUGGUCCAGUGGCUAAGACUCGGCAUUCCCAAUGCAGCGGGCCCGGAUUCAAUUCCUGGUCAGGGAA
rfam:Ovis aries breed Texel chromosome 3, whole genome shotgun sequence.